UGGCGGCGUGCCUAAUACAUGCAAGUCGAGCGGACAGAUGGGAGCUUGCUCCCUGAUGUUAGCGGCGGACGGGUGAGUAACACGUGGGUAACCUGCCUGUAAGACUGGGAUAACUCCGGGAAACCGGGGCUAAUACGGGAUGGUUGUUUGAACCGCAUGGUUCAAACAUAAAAGGUGGCUUCGGCUACCACUUACAGAUGGACCCGCGGCGCAUUAGCUAGUUGGUGAGGUAACGGCUCACCAAGGCAACGAUGCGUAGCCGACCUGAGAGGGUGAUCGGCCACACUGGGACUGAGACACGGCCCAGACUCCUACGGGAGGCAGCAGUUGGGAAUCUUCCGCAAUGGACGAAAGUCUGACGGAGCAACGCCGCGUGAGUGAUGAAGGUUUUCGGAUCGUAAAGCUCUGUUGUUAGGGAAGAACAAGUACCGUUCGAAUAGGGCGGUACCUUGACGGUACCUAACCAGAAAGCCACGGCUAACUACGUGCCAGCAGCCGCGGUAAUACGUAGGUGGCAAGCGUUGUCCGGAAUUAUUGGGCGUAAAGGGCUCGCAGGCGGUUUCUUAAGUCUGAUGUGAAAGCGCCCGGCUCAACCGGGGAGGGUCAUUGGAAACUGGGGAACUUGAGUGCAGAAGAGGAGAGUGGAAUUCCACGUGUAGCGGUGAAAUGCGUAGAGAUGUGGAGGAACACCAGUGGCGAAGGCGACUCUCUGGUCUGUAACUGACGCUGAGGAGCGAAAGCGUGGGGAGCGAACAGGAUUAGAUACCCUGGUAGUCCACGCCGUAACCGAUGAGUGCUAAGUGUUAGGGGGUUUCCGCCCGUUAGUGCUGCAGCUAACGCAUUA
rnacentral:rRNA from 1 species